GAUGAACGCUGGCGGCGUGCUUAACACAUGCAAGUCGAACGAUGAAAGCGGGAGCUUGCUCCUGCUGGAUUAGUGGCGAACGGGUGAGUAACACGUGAGCAAUCUGCCCCGAACUCUGGGAUAAGCGUUGGAAACGACGUCUAAUACCGGAUACGACACGCGAAGGCAUCUUCUGCGCGUGGAAAGAACUUCGGUUCGGGAUGAGCUCGCGGCCUAUCAGCUAGUUGGUGAGGUAACGGCCCACCAAGGCGACGACGGGUAGCCGGCCUGAGAGGGUAGCCGGCCACACUGGGACUGAGACACGGCCCAGACUCUUACGGGAGGCAGCAGUGGGGAAUAUUGCACAAUGGGCGCAAGCCUGAUGCAGCAACGCCGCGUGAGGGACGACGGCCUUCGGGUUGUAAACCUCUUUUAGUAGGGAAGAAGCGAAAGUGACGGUACCUGCAGAAAAAGCACCGGCUAACUACGUGCCAGCCGCCGCGGUAAAAC
rnacentral:rRNA from 1 species